AGUGAACGCUGGCGGUAGGCCUAACACAUGCAAGUCGAACGGCAGCACAGGAGAGCUUGCUCUCUGGGUGGCGAGUGGCGGACGGGUGAGGAAUACGUCGGAAUCUACUCUGUCGUGGGGGAUAACGUAGGGAAACUUACGCUAAUACCGCAUACGACCUACGGGUGAAAGCAGGGGAUCUUCGGACCUUGCGCGAUUGAAUGAGCCGAUGUCGGAUUAGCUAGUUGGCGGGGUAAAGGCCCACCAAGGCGACGAUCCGUAGCUGGUCUGAGAGGAUGAUCAGCCACACUGGAACUGAGACACGGUCCAGACUCCUACGGGAGGCAGCAGUGGGGAAUAUUGGACAAUGGGCGCAAGCCUGAUCCAGCCAUACCGCGUGGGUGAAGAAGGCCUUCGGGUUGUAAAGCCCUUUUGUUGGGAAAGAAAUCCAGCUGGCUAAUACCCGGUUGGGAUGGCGGUACCCAAAGAAUAAGCACCGGCUAACUUCGUGCCAGCAGCCGCGGUAA
rnacentral:rRNA from 1 species